AUGGGAGUUUGAUGUUCCAGCUAGUGUCAAUCGUUGAGAUUGACAGGAUGAAGCUGGUGCAGACCAGAGCCAUUCUCAACUACAUUGCCAGCAAAUACAACCUUUAUGGGAAAGACACAAAGGAGAGAGCCCUGAUUGAUAUGUAUAUAGAAGGUAUGGCAGAUUUGAAUGAAAUGAUCCUUCUUCUGCCCAUAUGUCAACCUGAGGAAAAAGAUGUCAAACUUGCCUUGAUCAAAGAGAGAAUGAAAAAUUGCUAUUUCCCUACCU
rnacentral:sRNA from 1 species